UAUAAACACGCCUCCCCCCUCCCAACACCUCCCUUUCCUACUCCGUUGUAGCAGUUUAACAUCUGAAUCUCUAGGCUGGAACACGCAACCUUUCACCGAAGCACGAAGGGAGGGAGGCGGGGGGGAGAAGGCAAGUCUCAAAAACCUGCGGUCGAGGCGGAGGGACAGGCUUUGCCCGAGCAUCCGCGACAAGCGGCCAGCACCACCACCACAACAACAAAACACCCAAAAGCCCGGUGCGGGCGGAGCACACUCAGUCCGGUGCCGCUCUGUGGCCCCUUUGUUCCCUGCGGGGGGACAGGCGAAGCGGGAGCCCCCAGCCCGCUGCCCACACGCCGCGGGACGGGCCCCUUCCCGGCGGGUCUGCUCGGCAGGGCCCGACCCUCUUCUCCUCUCGGCGGAGCGGGGAUAUGAUAAAAGGAGACAGGGCUCUGAAAGGAUUUGAUUGAGAUGGCGUGUGCCAAGCUGAUGGGAGCCAGCGAGGGACAAAGCGCCGAGGAGCCAUGGACACUCGAGCAAUUAUUCCUCCACGCUGAAGGUGGAUUAGCGCAAUGGAAAGAAGCAUAUGUUCGGCCUGGGGCGACACUCCCCCUGGCUGGGUUUAGAGAAUGAGAGCGGAGAAAGAGGCUGAACCUGGAAUAUCAACUAUCCCGGAGACAGCCCACCCGCCCCCCCGUUCCCAGCCUCUCCAAAAGUCCCGGGGAUGGAUGGUGAGAUAAAUACGCACGGCCCCAGAGAUCAACGGGCACCCACACGUACCCGCCUGCAGAGAGGUGCAUGCACCUCUCUGCACAGCUACUUGCAUCCCCUGUCAUGGGUACACAGAGACAGAAAUGUGGGAAACCCCCCAAGGUGUGACAAAGGGAGCACAAAGCCCAUCUAUAAGGGGUCUUACAGCACCCACACUGCUGGAGGCUCAUUCCCAGCCCCUUCCCUGGAACCUUUCUGAAGCUGGCUGUGGUGAGGGAUGGGGUCACUCCAGUCACCUUGCACCAGGCCCAGGCUGGAAGAUCCAUGGCAAACCCCUCAGCUCCCAUUUUCCUCCUGCUCCUGCAGUGCGUCCUGAGGGCACCCAGCAGGGUGAGCAGGACAUGAUGUGGGCU